rnacentral:rRNA from 1 species
UACGUAGGGGGCAAGCGUUGUCCGGAAUCAUUGGGCGUAAAGAGCGUGUAGGCGGCCCGAUAAGUCCGCUGUGAAAGUCCAGGGCUCAACCCUGGGAUGCCGGUGGAUACUGGCAGGCUAGAGUGCGGUAGAGGGUAGUGGAAGUUCCCGGUGUAGCAGUGAAAUGCGUAGAGAUCGGGAGGAACACCAGUGGCGAAGGCGACUACCUGGGCCAUUCCUGACGCUGAGACGCGAAAGCUAGGGGAGCGAACAGG